rnacentral:rRNA from 1 species
CCUACGGGUGGCUGCAGUGGGGAAUAUUGGACAAUGGGGGGAACCCUGAUCCAGCCAUGCCGCGUGUGUGAAGAAGGCCCUCGGGUUGGAAAGCACUUUCAGUGAGGAAGAACGCCUGGUGGUUAAUACCCAUCAGGAAAGACAUCACUCACAGAAGAAGCACCGGCUAACUCCGUGCCAGCAGCCGAGGUAAUACGGAGGGUGCGAGCGUUAAUCGGAAUUACUGGGCGUAAAGCGCGCGUAGGUGGCUUGAUAAGCCGGUUGUGAAAGCCCCGGGCUCAACCUGGGAACGGCAUCCGGAACUGUCAAGCUAGAGUGCAGGAGAGGAAGGUAGAAUUCCCGGUGUAGCGGUGAAAUGCGUAGAGAUCGGGAGGAAUACCAGUGGCGAAGGCGGCCUUCUGGACUGACACUGCCACUGAGGUGCGAAAGCGUGGGUAGCAAACAGGAUUAGAUACCCGGGUAGUC